AUUGAAAAGAUAGUCGGGUGAACGAUUUAUUUUAAUAGGAAAUCUUGUUUUAUUAAGUUUAUUAAUAGAAAUAUCUAGGAAUUUAAGUAGGGUAGAGUAAAGGAAAGUUUUUUAUUAAAGUUAUAGGGGAGAGUAUUGUGUGAGAAAGGUGAAAUAUUUUAUAGGGUUGUAAUAAAAGUAAAGUAGAAAUGAAUAUUUGUACCUUGUGUAUAAGGGUUAUUUUAUUUUAAUUAAUUAUAAUUAAAGAUCUCGAAAGAAAGAGAGUUAGGUUAGAUAGGAAGAGUUUUUAUAGCAGAAAAAUUUAUAAUUGUAGCCUGGUAGUGAUAUGUUAAUCGAGCUUUUUGAUAUCUAGUUUUUUUUGGAAAUAAAUUUAAUUUAAUGUUUAUAUUAAAGGGGAUAUAAGGGGUAGGAGCAGGAGGGUAAAGCUUUUUGUUUUAAUUUAAUAACUAUUAUAGGAGUGUAAAGAUAUAUAGAUUGAGCUAGGCUUAAGAGUAGCUUUGCUAUAAGAAUGUUAUAGUUGAGAUUUAUAAUAAUUUAUUUUUUUUAUUUUUUAGUAGAGGUACAAAAAGUUAUUUUAAAGUAGUUGAAGAAUAUUCAGAAUUAAUAUAUUAGUAUAUAGUAGUAUAGAUGUAUAAUUAUAAAUUAUAAAAUGAUUUUAGUUAAAAAUUAUGGUUAAAUUAAGGAAUUCGGCAAUAUUUACUUUCGCCUGUUUAUCAAAAACAUGUCUGUAUGGGAGAUUUAUAGAGUCUAACCUGCCCACUGGAGAACCUAAAGGGCCGCGGUAUUUUGACCGUGCAAAGGUAGCAUAAUCACUAGUUUUUUAAUUGAAGGCUUGAAUGAAGGGUUGGACGAAAAGUAAGCUGUCUUUUUUAAAAGAGUAGAAUUUAACUUUUAAGUGAGAGGGCUUAAAUGUUUUAGAGGGACGAUAAGACCCUAUAAAGUUUAACGACUGUAGAUUUAAUAAAAAGUAGGGUAAAUAUUAUGUAUUAUUAGGGAGUAAGUUGUUUUGCUGGGGCGGUAGGAAUAAAAAUAAAUUAACUGUUCUUUAGUUAUAUUUCAGUAGUUGCUGUAGUUUAUGAUCCUUAUUAGAGAUUAAAGAGUAAAUUACUUUAGGGAUAACAGCGUAAUUUUUUUUGAGAGUUCUUAUCGACAAAAAAGUUUGUGACCUCGAUGUUGAAUUAAGAGUUCUUUAUAAUGUAGCGGUUAUAAAAAGAAGGUCUGUUCGACCUUUAAAUUUUUACAUGAUUUGAGUUCAGACCGGUGUGAGCCAGGUUGGUUUCUAUCUUUUAGGAAGAAAAUAAUUACUUUAGUACGAAAGGAUUAGGUAGUUAAAAUAUUUUUAUAAAAUAUUAUAGGGUCGAUAAAAAAGAGAGGUCUUUGACGUUAAUUUCCGAAAUUAGUAUUU
rnacentral:rRNA from 1 species